rfam:Rhodospirillales bacterium RIFCSPLOWO2_01_FTLL_65_14 rifcsplowo2_01_scaffold_68098, whole genome shotgun sequence.
UCGGGCAUACGGCAGACGCCCGGUACCGAAAAGACGGCGCGCCGUCCAAGCUCUGC